AGGAAAUGCGAUGCUACCAACCGGACCAAUGACAGUGGUUACGGUCUGCAUUGCCACGACGUGUGAGCAACUUUUCUGGAGAGGUGUACCCUACUGUCUUAUCUGAUGCUAUGUGUCCAUAAUGCUGCUGCAAGUAAGUUUUUCAUUGUACCUGUGUGGAAAUGGACUUGUAGGUAUGACAAUAAUCUUGACUUUGAUUUAGAAUUCUGAAAUUAUUCCAAACCCUAUGCAAUAUUAUAAUCCAUUUCCUUCAUUUAACAUCUAAACUCUUUUUUUCCACAGUUGGAUGUCAAUGCCUAAAGGGUGACUACAUUUUUUCUUAGACAUUGCGCAGAAUAGACCCCUCUGGCCCUUUGAGCUGCACUGUUCAACAACCCACCUAUUUAAUCACGGGACAAUUUACAAUGACCAAUUAAGGCCACAAACUUAUCAAUCAUCCCUGCUGUGGACCACUUCCGGAAGUCCAAGACACCGACCUCUACAAAGAAGGGAUCCAUAUGCUCCAUGACCGCUGGACUAAGU